UACGGAGGGUGCGAGCGUUGUCCGGAAUCACUGGGCGUAAAGGGCGCGUAGGCGGCCUGGCAAGUCGAUGGUGAAAGCCCGAGGCUCAACUUCGGGUCGGCCACUGAUACUGCUGGGCUUGAGUCGACUAGAGGCAGAUGGAAUUCCGGGUGUAGCGGUGGAAUGCGUAGAGAUCCGGAAGAACACCGGUGGCGAAGGCGGUCUGCUGGUGUCGAACUGACGCUGAGGCGCGACAGCGUGGGGAGCAAACAGG
rnacentral:rRNA from 1 species